CCUGUCCUGUCUUUUCAGUUCAGCUACUCCUGGAAUGGUCCAAAGAAGAAAGAAGCCAAGGCAUCCACCAUUUGGUGUCAUACCUGGACAGCCCAGCCUCUCUCAUUACAUGACGUUUCCAUACACAGGAGAGAAGAUGGAUUUUACAAGCAGCUGUCCUGUUGGUCUAUUUCAUUUCCCCCCAUUUCUGGUUUGAUUGCCCUUCCUCCCAUUGACCAGUGAUGAACUCCUACUCACCCAUCAAGACCCAGAUUUUACAGAGUUCACUUAGCUGCUGUGCAGAAGAGGGGAUGAAGGAUGACAAGAGUGGAAUUAGGAGACGUUAAACUCUACUGCAAGGACCCAUGUAAGUGGCAGUUGACCAGGGUUAAAGCAGUGAGCUGGAGAGAAGGUAAGAGAUCAUGGCUUUGUUUUGGACUUGCCUAUGAAAUGUAUGUGUGUGUGCGUGUGUGUGAAAAAUAAAGAAAUCAAAGGUAUUGUGGUCACCUCAAGACUUGGCAUGUAAGUAGGUAGCCCUAAAAAGUGUUUGAUGCAUUGAAAGCAUAUGUUUCUCUUUAUUUAAAAUUAUCAUCUCUCUAAGUAAUGAUUUAAUAGCUACACAGCCUAUACGUCAUGUGAGCUUAAUGAAAGUGUUCUAAGAGACUUUUCAACAAAAUUGCAUUUAGAAGUAAAUAUUUACUUGAGUACAACUCAUUUGUGAAAUUAAGUCUGCUUUAUGAGGCAUACUCAAUUAUUUUUGUAACUAGUGAGCAGCAUAAUAUCUGUGGAAUUACACAACGUGAAGCCUCCUAUCUUAUAAACACAGACUUUUUUAAAAAAAAGUGCAGUCAGAGACAAAACAAGUUUCUUAGCACCUCAGAAACAUCUAGCAAGUAUGUGUGCAGUGCCUGACUGGGUACAAUUAGAAAUCUAGGAAAAGUGGGAAGCCAUGACUUCCUCUGUGCUUUUUCCCAGUUAUGAAGCAAAUUCCAGGAUCCUGGAAUAAAAUUCAAUUGUGCAUCUAGUCUCUUAUGUCUAUGUGCAGCACUUUCCAGACUUACUGGGGACAUCAAGAGAAAUGGUCUCUACCCUAGAGGAGUUCCUCUAGGGUAGUGGAGAGAAAGGGGGAGAGAGAGAGAACGGGGGGCAAGCUACUGAUAAUUGGGGGUGAUAAGUGCAAAGGAUAGAUGCAAACUCAGGGUGCUGCUAUCGGAGCCCACAAGGGCAGCCAACACAUGGAGGAGUGGGUGAGGGAUAGAGUCAAGGGUCCAAGGGUUGGCCUCCUUGGGGCUGGGAGGUGUGAUUAGAAUCUUGAAGGCUGAGCAGGAGCUAUGCAGAUGGAGGGAGAGGGGAAAGACAGAGAGAGAAACCUGGGCAAGUGUUGGGAGGCGGGAAAGCCCAGUGGAGGAAUUGUGAUGGAGGUGAGGAGGGUCAUAGCAUCUUGUGAGGUGGGAGCCCACUGAGUCACAGAGGGUCUUGCCUGCCAUGCUAAGGACCUCGUUCUGAAGAUCAUAGGGAGCCCCUGAAAGCGAGUAAGCAGCAAGAGGAAUGAGCAGAUGGGCCUUGCACAAGAAUUUAUCUGUUAACAAUGUGGCAUGGAUUGAAGUCCAGGAAGAAAAGGUAGGCGUUUGCUUGACCUCCAGACAUGAAAACUGAGGCUCUGGGGUUGGGAGGGAGAAUCAGGAAGUAGGAUAAACAGUGGGAAUGUGAAAGGAGGAUGACGAAAGAGGAGACAAGGCUUAGAUUUAGGCUAAACCCAGAUUACUUCAUAUUUUAACGACAACAAAAACAAAGCAGCAAGCAUGUCACCAGUGUGCAGGCUCUCAACCUUAAAUGACUAUUGAGUUGGCCAAAAGGUUCG